rnacentral:rRNA from 1 species
AAUCCAUAGGUUAAUGAGGCGAACCGGGGGAACUGAAACAUCUAAGUACCCCGAGGAAAAGAAAUCAACCGAGAUUCCCCCAGUAGCGGCGAGCGAACGGGGAGGAGCCCAGAGCCUGAAUCAGCAUGUGUGUUAGUGGAAGCGUCUGGAAAGGCGCGCGAUACAGGGUGACAGCCCCGUACACAAAAGCGCAUGUGCUGUGAGCUCGAUGAGUAGGGCGGGACACGUGGUAUCCUGUCUGAAUAUGGGGGGACCAUCCUCCAAGGCUAAAUACUCCUGACUGACCGAUAGUGAACCAGUACCGUGAGGGAAAGGCGAAAAGAACCCCGGCGAGGGGAGUGAAAAAGAACCUGAAACCGUGUACGUACAAGCAGUGGGAGCCCCACCACCAAAGCAUUCUCUGGUGUUGAAGGCCC